GACGAACGCUGGCGGCGUGGAUUAGGCAUGCAAGUCGAACGGUAUCAUCCUUUCGGGGGUGAGGGAGUGGCGAACUGGUGAGUAACACGUAGGUUAUCUACCCUCAAGACGGGGACAACCCAGGGAAACUUGGGCUAAUACCGGAUGUGAGCAACUUUUAGUUGUUUGAAAGGUGGCGUAAGCUGUCGCUUGGGGAUGAGCCUGCGUCCUAUUAGUUAGUUGGUGAGGUAACGGCUCACCUAGGCAAUGAUAGGUAGGCGGCCUUAACGGGUGGUCGCCCACACUGGGAUUGAGAUACGGCCCAGACUCCUACGGGAGGCAGCAGUCGAGAAUAGUCUACAAUGGUCGGAAGACUGAUAGUGCGACGCCGCGUGAACGAUGAAUCCCUUCGGGGUGUAAAGUUCUUUUAUAUGUGAGCAGUGCUUCUUAUAUUAACAGUAUGGGGAGAGAGAUAUUAGCAUAUGAAUAAGCAACGGCUAACUCCGUGCCAGCAGCCGCGGUAAACUGU
rnacentral:rRNA from 1 species